UUGACGGGACCCGCACAAGCGGUGGAUGAUGUGGAUUAAUUCGAUGCAACGCGAAAACCUUACCUACCCCUGACAUGUCUGGAAUCCCGAAGAGAUUUGGGAGUGCUCGCAAGAGAACCGGAACACAGGUGCUGCAUGGCUGUCGUCAGCUCGUGUCGUGAGAUGUUGGGUUAAGUCCCGCAACGAGCGCAACCCUUGUCAUUAGUUGCUACGAAAGGGCACUCUAAUGAGACUGCCGGUGACAAACCGGAGGAAGGUGGGGAUGACGUCAAGUCCUCAUGGCCCUUAUGGGUAGGGCUUCACACGUCAUACAAUGGUCGGGACAGAGGGUCGCCAACCCGCGAGGGGGAGCCAAUCCCAGAAACCCGAUCGUAGUCCGGAUUGUAGUCUGCAACUCGACUACAUGAAGUCGGAAUCGCUAGUAAUCGCGGAUCAGCAUGUCGCGGUGAAUACGUUCCCGGGUCUU
rnacentral:rRNA from 1 species